UAGUGAUAAUUUGCAUUUCACAAUGUCACCAUCAGGAUAAAUUAUAAAUAGGGAGUGAAGGUAGAUGGGAAAGAUCACUGGAUCAAGAAUGUUAAACAAAAUAUGUUUUUGUAAAUUUGGACAACAUUUAACUUGCAAUUAUGUACCAUUUAUUCUACUGGAUGUAGUACAGACUUGCAGUCACAUACCAUUUCAACACUGGAAGAAGUAUGUUUGUCUGAGCGAAGCCAAUUGGAAGCAUGUACCUCUUAGUGAAGCUAAUUGGGAGCACAUACCCUCUGUCUUGUUGCGAAGCUGAUUGGAAGCAGUACAUAUAUACCUCUGUCUGCUAUAGCUAAUUAGAAGCAGUACCCCCGGCAGAGUGGUCCCAGUUAGAAGUAGUAACUCUGAGCAAAGCCAAUUGGAAGCAUGUACCUCUGCAAAAUUUGAUUUUUAACACUUUUCAACAAAUUUUAUUUAGCAUUCUUUUUAAGGUCUACUUCUAUACCUUCUUUCAUUUUCUAUUUAUUAUUAUUCCCUCUGUUGACAUGGUGAAGUGCAAAUAUCACUUCACCAUUUUGCACUCUUCUGUAGUUCUUAUUCUGAUGAAGGUGCCGUAGAAAUUGAAACAUUCCAAUAUAGUUUAAUACUCCAACAAUCCCUGAAGUAUUGUUAUAAGGGCUUUAGAAUUAUCAUAUUCUUUUUAGACAAUUUAAAUAAAAACAAAAAUAAUAUGCAUUUUGCUGAUUAUUUAUUUUCCUGGUAACUUUAAAUGUAAAAUACAAUAAGUACUUUUUUGUCGAGCUUUCGACUUUAGUCGAAAAAAGCGAGAAAUAGGGAUCAUAAGAUAGUGUCAAGAAAAGAAUUUUGUAAAAGAAAAAUCCUGUUUUUUCGUAUUUUACUUAUAAAUGGACUUGGUUUUUCUGCAAGGAAACAUUACAUUUACUCUUUGGUUAAAGUUUUUGAAAUUUAAGAACUUUCUUUAACUACCCUGGAUUUGUACCACACUUGGACAGAAGCUUGUUUAUGAUCUAAAGCUAGUAUCUUGAUGGAAAUUUGGUUAAACAUUGUUCCUGUUUUUUUGUAUUUUACUUAUAAAUGGACUUAUUUUUUUUAUUUAAUAUAGGAUUUCCCCAUAUUUUCCUAUAAAAUAACUUUAUCUUAUACUUAAUAGAAAAAUGAAAUGAAAUCAUGGGGUCACUGUUCAUUUACGCUCACAAUCUGCCUUCGAAAAAAGCAUACAUUUUUGUUGAUGUCCUUUUUUCUGUUGAACUAAUAGGAGAAAUAUCGGUAAUAUUGAAAUAAAAAAGGAACUAAAUUACAGAAAUAGCUUAAAUUUUACAAUUAUUUAGUUUAUGUACAGCUUAUUCAAAAACAACAUUAAGAAAUAUAGGUCACCAAUGAGUUAAAAAAGAUAUUCAAAAUUUAAAGCCAAAAAAUGGCAUUUUUUGCAGCAAAGUUUGGAGCUUUUUCAAUGAUAUCUACAUUUUAAAAGUCACCUGGGACCAACACGAUUUGAUUUUCUGAAAAUCUUAUACCCGCGAGCCUCCUUAAAUGAUAGUAUUGAGAGGAAUAUGUUUAUUAAUUUUUUCCCGCAUUUUUGUUGUGUCUGCUUUUAACAGCAAAAGUAGGCGAAACACUGGGUUCUGCGAAACCCUUACCAAUUUUUUUUCUAAAAUAUUUACUUUUGUAAAAGUUUUUUUUUAAAUAUCAGAUGUAUACUUGCUAAAAUUGACUAUUAUUUAGAGUUUUGUAAAUGAAAAAUUGUAUGUAAACUUAGCUCUAGAUAAUUUUGAGGGUGGGAGAAAUCAUAGGUUCCUUCAAUUGAUUAGGUGAAUUUUUUUGAAAACAGGAUUUGUUAAACAUUUUUUAAAAGUGCAUCUGAUAUUUUUUUAUAUAUAUUAUUAUUUUCAAAAGCAAAUGGACAAUAAGAUAACAAAUAGAGCCACCUUGGCAGCCAUGAGAGCAGCUCUAAGGAAGAUGGUCAAUUAAAUCUUCAACCAAGUCUGAGGCCUUACUAUGAAGAAUCAGUGAUUGUUGAAUUGACAGUAUUUUCGUGGUGUUGGGAGUAAGACUUGGAUAUCUAAUAUUGUUAACAUGUUGGUUAGCAUCACAGCGUUUCCAUAGGGUUACUUGCUGGAAUACCAAUUAGAGCUGUUUAAAGUAGAAAGUGUUGCUGCAUUGUAUGGUAAAAUCUUCAGACAAUAACAUACAAACAAUCCGAUGAACUGUUGCUAUCUCUGUUGGUAGAAUCCGUAGACAGUUUUCUUAUAAGCAGAAGAAUGAAUUUAUAACAAAUUGGUUUUUUUGUAUUGAGUUCAAAUUAUAAAUGUAUUUUUUUAUUUUUUUACUUGCAUUUGAUUAUUGUUUUGUUUUGUUAUCAAUUAAACUGUGAAAUUAUUGUAAUUUGAGGGGUCCAAAGAAAUAUGCUAUAGGUUUCACAAAGUACCUAUAAGACUCACAUCGGUUUACAUAUAUUUUUUAAGUUGUGUACAUGUUAGUCUAACAAGUGCUUUGUGAAACAAAUUUUGCCUGUUACAAACCUUUAAUGUAGGACUUUGAUGGCCAAAUAUUUAAAAAUAUCAAACAAAUACCCUGUUAAGCAUUUGAAGUUUUUGAUUCCAUAUUAAUAAUUAAUAAAUAUUUGGCUAUUUGAUUGUGUUUUACUUCACUUUCUGUACAUUUAUACAAAGAAAUGGCUGUCAGUUUAAUUAUUUGGUUUUGUUUAUUAAAUACAUUAUUCAGAAUUUGAGGCCACUCAAAUGAAAAUAAUUUCACUGUUUAUGUAGAUUGUUUAAUUUUAUAUUUUUUUUUAUGUUUUUUCUCAUUGAUAAUUUUUACUUUAAGGAAAGUUUUAGGGUUUGUCUUUUGAAGUUUAAAGAGUUAUUUUUUCCACCCAACAUUACUCAGGAACCUUUAAAAUUAUUUUACCUUAAUAUUGAUGGAUGGCGUUUUAACCUCCACUGGCAAAUUAAACUAGAAAUGGGUUUUCUUGCCCUUAUUCCCUAAUUUAUAAAUCUGACUGAAAUAAUAAAUACUAGUUAUCUCCCUUCCUGUGCUGGUUCCCUAAAAUGAAAAUAAAAAACUUAAUUUUUGAAAAUGACUCUUCUUAGAAAUAGGAUGGGAGUAAAACUAACAGAUAAAACCGCUUGAGAUUAAAAUGUGGAAAGAUUUAUUAAUUUUUGCAAAAAUCUAGAUUUUUAGAUUAAAAUUAAUUACCCAGUAAAAAAGUUGAGUACAUCCCGAAAAUUGAUUUGAUUCAUGCAAAUUUUUAUAUUCUUAUAUUGUUUCUUUUACUAUUUGUAUAAAAAUUGUAAUGUUUUUGUACAUCCUUUUUUAAAAUUUGAGACAAACUGAGGAUUCUAUUUUUUAUGGAAUUCUAUAAUUUUUUUUAUUUCUAUCAAUAAGUUUGGUAAUAAAGCAAUAAAAAGCUAAAAAGUAUAUAUAUACUAAGCAAAAAACUAGUCUCCUUAGGAAUCAGUUAUAACAUAAUUUCAUAAAUAUGUCUCAAAAUAGACAUGAUUUAAUAAUACAACCAGUUUAAGAACUCAUGGUACCCAGUAAAAUAAAAAUCCUCAGUACUCUCAUUUAUUUUUUUACUAUUUUAUUGUAAUAUUAUGCUUAUGAUACUUAACCCAUGACGCAGAUCCUUUUCCUCCUUCUGAUUGUAAAGAUAGUGUAUAACAAAUGCAUGGCCAAAAGCAUAUCACAAGUUACAAUUUGUUUAAUAAAAUUACACCCAUACCGAAGCAGAUUGUGUUUGGUUUCAUUUGCGUAUUUUGUAUCAUGCUAUAU